rnacentral:lncRNA from 10 species
GGUGAGGAAACUGAGAUUCAGGGAAGAAAACGUUAGUUUGUCUAGGACAGCACAGCGAUUCAUCAAAAUUCACAAAGAAAAAGCAUAUAGAAAGAAAAAGACUAGACCAGUAUCACACUCAAGAACUCACUGCCUUGUUGAAGAGGCAACAUACAUACUCAAGAAAAAUGUGAUGAAUAACAGAAGAGAGAAGGCAGUAAGGGCUAUUAUUUAUGGACUAAUAAUAUUAAUAUCAUAGCAAAUAUUAAAACUUAAUAAAAACUCAUGAUGUGCCAGGCUGCAUUCUAAAAGCUUAUGAGAUA